GGGGAAUYUUCCGCAAUGGGCGAAAGCCUGACGGAGCAAUACCGCGUGAGGGAAGAAGGUCCUUGGAUCGUAAACCUCUUUUCUCAGGGAAGAAGUUCUGACGGUACCUGAGGAAUAAGCCUCGGCUAACUCCGUGCCAGCAGCCGCGGUAAUACGGAGGAGGCAAGCGUUAUCCGGAAUUAUUGGGCGUAAAGCGUUCGCAGGUGGCUGUUCAAGUCUGCUGUCAAAGACCGGAGCUUAACUCCGGAAAGGCGGUGGAAACUGAAGAGCUAGAGUGCGGUAGGGGUAGAGGGAAUUCCCAGUGUAGCGGUGAAAUGCGUAGAGAUUGGGAAGAACACCGGUGGCGAAAGCGCUCUACUAGGCCGCAACUGACACUCAGGGACGAAAGCUAGGGGAGCGAAUGGGAUUAGAUACCCCAGUAGUCCUAGCUGUAAACGAUGGGUACUAGGCGUAGCUUGUAUCGACCCGAGCUGUGCCGAAGCUAACGCGUUAAGUACCCCGCCUGGGGAGUACGCACGCAAGUGUGAAACUCAAAGGAAUUGACGGGGGCCCGCACAAGCGGUGGAGUAUGUGGUUUAAUUCGAUGCAACGCGAAGAACCUUACCAGGGCUUGACAUCCGGCGAAUUCUCUGGAAACAGAGAAGUGCCUACGGGAGCGCCGUGACAGGUGGUGCAUGGCUGUCGUCAGCUCGUGUCGUGAGAUGUUGGGUUAAGUCCCGCAACGAGCGCAACCCUCGUCCUUAGUUGCCAGCAUUAAGUUGGGCACUUUAGGGAGACUGCCGGUGACAAACCGGAGGAAGGUGGGGAUGACGUCAAGUCAGCAUGCCCCUUACGUCCUGGGCAACACACGUACUACAAUGGUCGAGACAAAGGGCAGCCAACUCGCAAGAGUGAGCGAAUCUCAUCAAACUCGGCCUCAGUUCAGAUCGCAGGCUGCAACUCGCCU
rnacentral:rRNA from 1 species